UGGAGCCUGGCUGCACCUGUUGUAGACCCCUGCCACUAGGGAAGGGUCUCUGAUUGGAGAUCCCUCCUCUGUGAAGUUUUUCCUCUGUAGGCCUAGAUCCUCGGGUAUGAUUUCAUCAUCAACUCAUUGUUGAAAUGGAGGAGUGGUAUUCUGACAUGGGUAUUAACUACUGCUAGAUGAUAGCAUUCUGAAAAAAGCACGUAAACACAAAUUUUUCGUAAGAGUACACUAAAUGACUUGAAGAUAGAAAUCUGCAUCUUACAUCAGAACACUGGAAGAGGAGAUACUGAGCCAGCUGUCACUGAGUAAAACAGUUUUGAGAUAUCAAUGAUAACAAACUCUUGCUUGAAAUGGAAAAGGGAGAAGGUGUAGAUCAAACUUUCCUCAUAUGCAUACUUUGAAUAAAACAUAAAAUACUUAUAAACCUUCUAAGUCCAAAACACUUAAAUUAUAUAUACUUAGGGAUUCCUUUAUUUAUCUUUCUAAUCUUUUAUGCAUUAUUUCUUAUGCGUGACUAUGUAUGCGGAAAUAUUUUCUUUUUAAUAAAAAUUGAAAUUUUGAAAUUUCUUAAAUAAAACCAUGAUUCUAGA